AGUGUACAGAGCUGCUGUCUUUUGUGGAUGGGAAAAAGGGUAUUUGUUAUGUCUCAGGAAAGCUGGAUGACUAUCUCAUUCUCUGAUGAUGGAGAAGAAUGUUCACAACCUGCUCCCCACCUCCCACUGUGAAAUACCAAUAUGGUGGAAACAGAAGGGAGAAGAAAGAACAGCGGAGACACUGAUCAUUGGAAACCAAAGAAGCAGCUCAUGCAUAAUGGAGAGCUAUCUGCAUGCAAAUUGCUAGGAGAAGUACUUCCUAUUUUUCUGGGAUAUUGUAUUUAGCCCUCUCUACUCUAUUCAGAAGAGUUCUAUUCCCCAGGCCAAGAAGGGGAAAUACACUGACGACAACAUUAAUUGUUGGAACUAAAUGCACAAGAAUCAGGAGCAUCUUAACUCCAUGCCCUGAACAUGAUCAGUACUGAAGAACUAUGGAUUAAUUAUUUUUUAUUGAUUGAUUGAUUGAAAAUGUAUCACUACAGAAAAGCAAAUGUGAAGCUUACAGAGGGAGAGUGGUGCAGUUAAAUGCUAAAGUUAAAUCUACUUUUCUGGCAGCUGCAGAAAGAUUCCUCUUCUGCCUCCUAUAAUUGCUCUGAGGAUAUUUAAAUUGUAGAGCUCUAAGUGGCUGCCCUCAAUUUGCUUCAAAGAUAAUAACGUCACCUUACAGUUUAUAAAGCACCUUGUUACAUCCCUUUGGAGACCUACAGCAAUCCCGUAUGAAUCUGGGGAUUAUUUAUUCUUUUUUUCAAAUAAGAAAACUGAAGCACAGAGGAAGGAGUUACACAUUAAAAGCCAGGGAACUUGUACAUUAGUUAAGGUAAUGCUAGCAGCUAUAACAAAUAAAUGCCAAAAUCUCAGAACUUAAUACAAUAGAUCUUACUUUUUGAUUAUCCUAUGGCACCACACGGUGUUCUGGGUAGAUGAGGAGUCAUCCACAAGGUAUUUCGGGGAUCUAGGCUCCUUGGAUCUGUGGCUCUACUACCUUCCUCUAGUCUUCAAAUCUUCUGCAUCCAACAAGCAGAUGGAGAAUGAGGAAUUGGAAUAGGCAUUCCUUUGUUUAAGCUCUUUGGUCCAGAACUGAUACACAUAACAUCUGCUGAUAUCCUGUGACUAGAACGUCACCUGGCCCUCAUCUGGAUACAAGAGGAUGGUACUGAGAAACAAUUGCAGCCUGGGCAGAUGCUUUUCAGUGCAAUUCUAUUCUAAAGAAGAGGCAGACUGAAUGCUACAUGCCAGUAUGUAGAAUCUCCAGGACUCAAAAACAGACACAUGACAUUAAAUCCAGUGCUCUUGCUACUACAACACACUGCCUCUGUAUUCAGAGUUGCGUCAGCCUAGAUCGUAGUUUUGGAAUGAGUUAGAACCUGACCCUAACACUUGACAGUGUUAAAAGGGGGACUGUCACCAGUGGGACGAACCCUUGAACUAAGCAUGAGGAGAACCUGGCUUGUGCCCUGGCUCUGCCCUAUCUGACUGAUUGAGUAAAUCAUGAAAUCACUCUGCAUCUCUUUUUUUCAAAGUCAUUGAUACAAACCUUUACUUCUCAACUUUUCCCAAUUAAGCUACUAGAAUCUUAUAUUAUUUUUCCCUAAGAUGCUCAGACAUUCCUAUAAUGUUAUACAAGUCCAUGUUAUAAGAGCCCCUUAACAAUAAGUGGUAGCUGAUAAAACCGUAUCAAUACACAAUUCUAUACAAAGGUAAGAAACUGGAAACAUUAUUUGGCCUUCAUAGACCUUGCUUGGAUAACUGCUCAAUUUCUAUGAAGGUAUUGGAAUUAUUGGGAGGUGAAAUUGGCCACUCCUGUAACUAUUUCUGCAGAUCUCCAAUUGGGAACCAUAGAGGUUCAUGACCUAAGGCUCCAACCAGUUAACAUCUGAAAAUGUCUUUUGUCUCUGUAAUCUUGACAAGUGAAUUCCAGUCACACCCAUCCUAAGAAGAGUGUGCCUGGAAAUACUGGUUUUCUUCUUCUCAAGUUGUCUGAAUCCAGAAGUAUAUAUUAGUCUGGAAGUGGCUGGAGGUGAUGGAAAAGAGAGGAUGUUGAAAAAAGCACCCUUGGUGAAGUGGAGCAGCAACUCGCUCAGAAGCCUCAUGAAUCUGUAACAUCGUUUGAACUCCAAAGCUUUCUUCAUCACUCAUAAAUCCAUAAUCAUCACUCCACCUCGGAAAAAUCUCACUCUGCUCUUCUCUAUCUUCUACAUGAAACGUAUCAGGAAGAAAAAUUAACAUAAGGAACUUUCACCAGUUUUAUAAAAUCUUAACCCUUUUGUACACUUGUUUCUGAUAAUUUUAAGAACUAAUAUCAAUAAUCAUUAAAACGUUGAACCAUGCCCA
rnacentral:lncRNA from 1 species